AUGAUAGUGCUGCACGAAUCAAGUCUGAACUUGAUCAAAUCAGAAUAAACCGCGCUCUCGCAUCUUAUACACAUCCAGUACUCUUUUCUUGAGUACUUACAAAUAAAUCAAAAUAAUGCUUUUUUUGGAACCUGACAACUUUCACUUUAACAUGAAAAUUUACAAUGGUUUUAUUAUAGUAAAAGUGUAGAAAGUUUUAUUUAUUCUGACGUAUUUAAUACAAAUACCAUAAAAACUAAAAAGCAGCAUAUGUGCAUAAAACACGUAGUAGCGGGAAAUAAUGUCUCCAGGAGUCUCGAGCUGCUGUUCAUCUUUACUUUCACUUUCGCUUCCACGUGACGUAGUCCUGUGAGCUGCUGUGGUGACGUCACCUGAUCCUCCCGCCUCUUCUUCUGCUCAGACGAUGGUAAUAAAGGUGUGUUUGACUUUGACUUGAGUUUGAGUUCGGACACAGAGGCUUUAUGAAUGAAAGCGUCACGUCAUCAGUUUGAAUGGAGAUUUGGCGCCAUCUGCUGGACAUCAAACACAACACAAGACUGAGAAACUUCAAUCUGGAAUUUACGUUGCUGACAGCUGAAGGUGGUGGUGGUGACUGUUGUGUUUUCAGUGUGUGUGUGUGUGUUCACGCGGGUGACUUCCUGGGAUUCCUCCUUGCCUUUGUGACCCCCUUCUCCUCCACUGGUAAGCCUCAGCAGCAAUUACAAUUUGUCCCUCUGUUCCCCUCCUUAAAGUAUGAAUGCGUUCUAAAUUGUUUUAAAAUUAUUGCAAUAAAGUUUGUUGUUCCUCUUUAAAAAUUGAACCUAGUCUCUGGCUGAAUUGUAUACGUGUGUCUUUAAGUGUAUUAGUAAUAUUGCAAUUAGGAAAUAAAUAAAAUUUGUUUAUUGUGUUUUAGGGGCAGGUUCCACCUAGACUAUAACCUCCUCUGUUUUGUCUGCUCUUUGCAUCGCCACAAUCAGAUUAAAAACUUGAAGGCCUGGUUUCACAAACGGGGCUUAGCUUAAGCCAGGACUAGGCCUAAGUUAAAUUAAGAUAUUUAAGUAACUUUUACAAAAAUGCCUUAGAAGAAAACGUUACAGGUGUGCAUCUUGACACAGAACAAUGACACUGACAUAUUUGAAGAUAUUUCAGAGCAAGAUAUUUUCAGCUGAGACAGCUCAGCAGGCAUCACGACAAAAGGUUGAUCUAGGUACAUGUGUGCAAAUGUACAGGUCCCCAUUCCUAUAUUUGCCUGGGGCCCCCAAUUCAUUAAAUCCCCCCUGCCUUUGAUCGGAAUGACACACACACACAAAAAGAAAUGUCACACAUUAUACAGUGGAUAACAAUUAACAACAAACUAUUUAGUUUAGUAGGGUCCACACAUUAUGUUCACCUGUUGGAGCUUAACUUUUUAAGCUUUUUUAUUUUUAUUUCAACUGCAAUUAUCAUAAAAUUCUUAAAGAUGGUAUUCUUUAUUCAUGCAUUAGUCAAGUGUUCAUGUGCCGAAUAUUAUCUGCAUGCAAAAUAAUAAAAAAAAAACACACAAUAUGCUAUAAUGCAAGGGUUUUCAAUCUGGGGUUCAGGACCAAAGCAAAGGGGUCCACAAAAUAAUUUAUACCAUAUAUUCCAGACUACAAGUCAUAUUUUUUAAUCUUCUGAGAUGUGCUGAAUUAUUCUAAGCAAAACGUAAACCCAUAAAAGCGGGCACUUACAGGUUUCUAUAGUUCUCAAGUCUGUCUGUACACAGUGGUAUUGUCUGUACCACUGUGUUUUCUACAUUUCAGAAUGAGCUUCACAGAAACUGAGAUAGCAAGUGCAUUUUAAUUAACAAAACAAAUACUGCUUGUAACUAAUGGCACUAGAAUUUUUAUUUUAUUUUAUACAUAGGCCUAAAUAUUUUUAUUUUUGUUCUGUUUUGAAUAGUAUUCAGUUUAAAUGAUUUGAAGUGAGGGAAAAUAAAAUCUUUACAGUGUUUAUAGUUUUUAAGUUUCUUAGCGUUUGUUUUAUUUAUCAGUAUUUAAAUUAUUUCUGAAAUUAAUAGUAAAAUGUGUCUUAUACACCGAUACAACUUAUGUGUUUUUUCCUGACCUGGUGCAACUUAGCCCUAUAUUGUGCUUUAUUAUUAAACAAAUGUAUUAUAAAAAAAAAAGGGGGACUAUUUAAAAAAUAAUAAUAAUAAUAAAAAAUAAAAAAAUAUUAUGUUCAUUAUACUCCCACCCACAAUAAAUUUAAGCCUUAAAAUCUGUUGUAAUUCUGAGGGUGUCCUUGAAAAUGUUCUCUGCAAGGGGUCCCUGGCACCAAAUGUUGUAAAUGUCCAGUGAUAGUGGACAGGCGUCCAGAUACAGCAGAGUCUGGUGUGCUAGGAGGAACUGUCCUGGUCAUCACAGCUGUGUUUAUUUGUAUAUAUAUAUAUAUUUAUUCACACACACACACACACACACACACACACACAGUCAUUAAAUUGAGCAAACAUGAAAGCUGCCAUAAAAGGAUUUUGUGUACAACUAAACAAAUAAAACAAACAACAAAAAAACAAUAAAAAAAUACACCUUGAAUGCAAUCUAAGUCACUUUGUAUUAAAGAACCUGUCACAUAAAUGUAAACCUUCUCCGUUCCCUCCUCCGGAAACACUCCUGUCAGGGUUCUCAAGUCUCAAACAAGACACUUCAGUUCACACAAGUUCAAUAUUUGCAGGGCUUCAUUAUGAAUUUGUUUAUAACAUUUAAGUUCACGAUGGAGUGUGUAAAGCACGUUAGCUUUCUAAAAAACAUAAGUGACAAUAAAGAAAACAAUACAUAAUAAUGAAACUUAAAGUUUUAUGAAAAUCUUCCCACCUCUACUUGUCUCUUUAAUAAAGUAUUAGAGCUGGCUUGAGGUGAAAUAUUUUAUUAACUCAUUAAACACUCAUUAAAUGAAAGUUUCCAUGAAGAAAAACAUUUUUGCAGCUUUGAAUAGAGAUGAAUGAACACAUAAAGCCCAUUUAAAGGAUAGUGUACAGUCGUAUUACUGCACACCUUUAUAACGUAAAUAAUGACAGAACAAAUGACUGAUUUUAGAACAAACUAUAUUAAAAUCUUACCAGUGUUUAUCAUAAAACACACACAUAUACAGAGAGAGAGAGAACAAAACAUUUGUUCAAGCAAACAUAUGAACAACACAGCAGUGUUACCAGAACAACUACAGUAAAGAUAAAACCUGAACCAAGAACAACUGAAAACAAGGACUACACAGACAAACGAGAUAAUUAACAGACACACAGACAUGGAUGCAUGUUUCCUGACAAUGAUUUGACUCUUAAUUAAUAAAUCAUGUGAAACAGUGUGAAUAUUGCCAACAGAUUAAAACUGAUUAUUAAAUGUUAUUUGUCAGUGUCAUCA
rnacentral:lncRNA from 1 species